UGGAUGUGACAAAGGUAAAAAAAGGUAAAAACAAAGGAAAAACAGACAACGACACAAGAUGGAGCAUCUCUGAUACAAGCAGUUUUGUUUGGAGCAUCUCCAAACCUAUUACUAUCAAGGUUUCGAUUUCACUGUAGAAUUCCAUAUGCAGAAAAAAACAACAGUAAAUUUUUGAAGUUAGACGAGAAAGAGAGAGAAGAAAGGGACAAAGGGUGCUGAAUCCCUCUAUCUACUGAUCAAUGUUUCCCAGAAGAAUCUUUUUUUUUUUUUUUUUUCUCCAAAUGUAAUAAAGAUCUUUUUAGGUGCAUCGAUUUACGUCAGCCUGUUAUACCCAUUGCAUGCAAAGGUUUCCGUCCUUGGACCCACGAGUACGUAUUUGCAUGAGCUGUGAUUUUGGAGUUUCUGUCAAGUUUCUCAACCUGGAUUUGCUUGCACGUGAUAUUCACGUGAGAGACGGCUCCUCUCAUACCAGCUACAAACCUAUUCAAGCUUAGAAUCAAACUAACACGAGACUAAAAUCGAAUCAGAUUAGAGCUUUACAAGUCCACUGUAUUUAUGACAUUAUGGCUUGUAGUAAGCUUAUGCAUUUGAUAUUUAAAAUUAAGUUGAACCAAUUUGUCAUUUUGCCUUUGCAUUUAAUUCCCUCUUUGGAACUUUCCCUUGUUUGGGUUUCUGCAGUUGUUGAAUGGAAGUGAACUGAUGUGCCCAAAUGGCCAAAUCCAA